CAACCCUCAAGCAAUGCUUGGUAUUGGGCUUCGCUGCUCACGUAGCGGGCCUUAAAAUCAGUGGCGGUGCCGUCGGGCCCUGAGCGCAGUAAAGAUCCUCGCUACAGGGACUCGGUGGACGCUCGCCAUCAACCCCCCUACUCCUCUCA
rnacentral:misc_RNA from 1 species